rnacentral:rRNA from 1 species
GAUGAACGCUGGCGGCGUGCCUAAUACAUGCAAGUCGAGCGAACAGACGAGGAGCUUGCUCCUCUGACGUUAGCGGCGGACGGGUGAGUAACACGUGGAUAACCUACCUAUAAGACUGGGAUAACUUCGGGAAACCGGAGCUAAUACUGGAUAAUAUAUUGAACCGCAUGGUUCAAUAGUGAAAGACGGUUUUGCUGUCACUUAUAGAUGGAUCCGCGCCGCAUUAGCUAGUUGGUAAGGUAACGGCUUACCAAGGCAACGAUGCGUAGCCGACCUGAGAGGGUGAUCGGCCACACUGGAACUGAGACACGGUCCAGACUCCUACGGGAGGCAGCAGUAGGGAAUCUUCCGCAAUGGGCGAAAGCCUGACGGAGCAACGCCGCGUGAGUGAUGAAGGUCUUCGGAUCGUAAAACUCUGUUAUUAGGGAAGAACAAAUGUGUAAGUAACUAUGCACGUCUUGACGGUACCUAAUCAGAAAGCCUCGGCUAACUACGUG